UCCCAACAUGAUGUGACGCUGGACCU
rnacentral:piRNA from 1 species